GAUGAACGCUAGCGGCAGGCCUAAUACAUGCAAGUCGAACGGGAUCCAGAUCAAAGCUUGCUUUGGUUUGGUGAGAGUGGCGCACGGGUGCGUAACGCGUGAGCAACCUACCCUUGUCAGGGGGAUAGCCCGGCGAAAGUCGGAUUAAUACCGCAUGACAUCAUUGAGAGGCAUCUUUCGAUGAUCAAAGAUUUAUCGGACAAGGAUGGGCUCGCGUGACAUUAGCUAGUUGGUAAGGUAACGGCUUACCAAGGCUACGAUGUCUAGGGGCUCUGAGAGGAGAAUCCCCCACACUGGUACUGAGACACGGACCAGACUCCUACGGGAGGCAGCAGUAAGGAAUAUUGAGCAAGGGACGGAAGUCUGAACCAGCCAUGCCGCGUGCAGGAAGACGGCCCUAUGGGUUGUAAACUGCUUUUAUACGGGAACAAACGUCGGUACGUGUACCGGUCUGAGUGUACCGUAAGAAUAAGGAUCGGCUAACUCCGUG
rnacentral:rRNA from 1 species